rnacentral:rRNA from 1 species
AUUGAACGCUGGCGGCAGGCCUAACACAUGCAAGUCGAGCGGAUGACGGGAGCUUGCUCCUGGAUUCAGCGGCGGACGGGCGAGUAAUGCCUAGGAAUCUGCCUGGUAGUGGGGGACAACGUUUCGAAAGGAACGCUAAUACCGCAUACGUCCUACGGGAGAAAGCAGGGGACCUUCGGGCCUUGCGCUAUCAAAUGAGCCUAGGUCGGAUUAGCUUGUUGGUGAGGUAAUGGCUCACCAAGGCGACGAUCCGUAACUGGUCUGAGAGGAUGAUCAGUCACACUGGAACUGAGACACGGUCCAGACUCCUACGGGAGGCAGCAGUGGGGAAUAUUGGACAAUGGGCGAAAGCCUGAUCCAGCCAUGCCGCGUGUGUGAAGAAGGUCUUCGGAUUGUAAAGCACUUUAAGUUGGGAGGAAGGGUUGUAGAUUAAUACUCUGCAAUUUUGACGUUACCGACAGAAUAAGCACCGGCUAACUCUGUGCCAGCCGCCGCCGUAACAC